GGGGAUACCACUUUACAUAAAAACUCAUUAGAAAUACUAAAUUAUAUUAAAAUAUUAUUGAGUACAACAUCAAUACAAACUAAACAUGAACUUUAAAUUCAUCAUUGCCAUGGCAAUUUUCAUCAUCGUUAGUAUGUUUAAUUUAGCACAAGUUGAUGCACAAGCAUCAUCUGCUCCUCCCACGUCUGCCACGUCUACCGCACCUACCUCGACUACCGCAACAGGCCAAUGCCCAUCUUACCCUCCUAAAUAAUCUGCAGGAACUUCAUAACCGACAGCAACUACUUGAUAAUGAUAUUCAAUAUGACUAUAGUUGCAAGUCUGAUAUAAGUUAAUAAUUUAUCUUAUAUACUUUCUGAUGGCUAAUGUACCUAUUUUAUAUGCAAAUACAAUUGUAUGCACACUAAGAUGUAUACUCAUAUUAUAUAUCCAUUAAAAUACAAAAUAUAUGAUAUAUCCAAAUUUUAAUA